rnacentral:lncRNA from 1 species
UUCGAACCCGAGAUUACGCAGCCUGGCUGCGAUGGUUGUACCGGUGUAGUAUACCGAAUUUCUGAAAAUAAGAAGUUACGGUAGGAUGUAUGUCGGAAUUUAUUAUAAAAGUAAAUAUAAAUAAAAAUAGUGUGGAAAACUAUUUUUAUUGGCCUUAUAGAAGUAAAGUAAAAGUUGGAAGUGACCUGUGCUGAAAUCGGAGCGAAAACAGAAGAUUUAGAAUUUUCUGUGAGAAACGGGGCAGAUAAAUUAGCAGAAAAUGCACAGUGUCAGAAAAUUAUGAAAACUGGAGGAUGGAUCAGAAUUAUUUUUAUGAGGCUGGAAUUAAAGUUUCAGCCCAUUCUGACAUCCGGAAGGUGGAGAAUAAAAUCAAACUGCUAUCUGCUAAAGAUUACAGUUCGGCACGGCUUUCGGUGACCAAACGGGGUCGAAACUGAAAACUUAAGAUAUAUUCUUACUCAGUACGUUAAACCGAGCCUGCCUGUCGAAUUUGAGCGAAAACGGGCAUUCAGAAGGGCUCCGACUGUUCCGAACUGCGAAACUGCGAGUUGUAAUAGGUGUGAGAGGGGGUUUUGUGCAAUUGUUACAACACCACAAGUGGGCUGGUUGCAUACGUAUACACACACAUGCACAUACCUUCUCCCUCAUGUGUUCUCUCAUCCUCUCCCACUCUUACACUCUUUUCCC